rnacentral:rRNA from 1 species
AUACGAACCGGACAAACGUUAUUCGGAAUUAUUGGGCUUAAAGGGUGCGUAGGCGGCGCGGUAAGUGAGGUGUGAAAGCCCACGGCUCAACCGUGGAAUUGCGCUUCAUACUGCCGUGCUAGAGGGAGACAGCGGUAAGCGGAACUGAUGGUGGAGCGGUGAAAUGCGUUGAUAUUAUCAGGAACACCGGUGGCGAAAGCGGCUUACUGGGUCUCUUCUGACGCUGAGGCACGAAAGCUAGGGUAGCGAACGGGAUUAGAUACCCCAGUAGUCC